AAAGCAGGUCUGCAAUUGCAGCACUUCAUUGCAGUUGGAGUGCUGUCAUUAAUCCUGCUGAGAGCAAAUUUCUGCUGCAGAGCUCUUCCUCCUGAUCACUGUUUGUGAUAAGGAUGCUCUGUUAGCUGAACAUCA
ensembl:snoRNA small nucleolar RNA SNORA69